AACUAUGUGCCAGCAGCUGCGGUAAUACAUAGGUCGCGAGCGUUAUUCGGAUUUAUUGGGCGUAAAGCAAGCGCAGGCGGAUUGAUAAGUUCUGUGUUAAAAGCAGCUGCUCAACAGUUGUUUGCACCGAAUACUGUCAGUCUAGAAUGUGGUAGGGAGUUUCGGAAUUAAAUAUGGAGCGGUGGAAUGUGUAGAUAUAUUUAAGAACACCAGAAGCGAAGGCGGAAACUCAGGCCAUUAUUGACGCUUAGGCUUGAAAGUGUGGGGAGCAAAUGGGAUUAGAUACCCCAGUAGUCCACACCGUAAACGAUGGGUAUUAGAUGUCGGGAUUUAAGUUUCGGCGUUGUAGCUUACGUGUUAAAUACCCCGCCUGGGUAGUACAUAUGCAAAUAUGAAACUCAAAGGAAUUGACGGGGACCUGAACAAGUGGUGGAACAUGUUGCUUAAUUCGAUAAUACACGAAAAACCUUACCAAGGUUUGACAUCCCCCGCAAAACCAUGGAAACAUGGCGGAGGUUAUCGGGGUGACAGGUGGUGCAUGGUUGUCGUCAGCUCGUGUCAUGAGAUGUUUGGUUAAGUCCCGCAACGAGCGCAACCCUACUCCUUAGUUACCUUUUCUAGGGAGACUGAACAGUAAUGUAUAGGAAGGUUGGGAUCACGUCAAAUCAUCAUGCCCCUUAUGCCUUGGGCUGCAAACGUGUUACAAUGGCGAGUACAAUGUGUCGCAAGCUAGCGAUAGCAAGCCAAUCACCUAAAACUCGUCUCAGUUCGGAUAGGAGGCUGCAAUUCGCCUCCUUGAAGUUGGAAUCACUAGUAAUCCCGUGUCAGCUAUAUCGGGGUGAAUACGUUCCCAGGUCUUGUACAC
rnacentral:rRNA from 1 species